AGUACAGAAGAUUCCCAUUGGUUGUGUUUAUUUAUAGUUGUGUUUAUAUAUAGUUGUGUUUAUUUAUAAUGGCACAUAACUGAUAGUUAUGACUGAACAAUUUAACAUAUGAUCUGUCUGUUGAAUACUAUUAUCUAAUGUUAUAAUAAAUCUGUAACAACAUAUUCUGGGCACACAACUAUGCUGUAUAUUCUAAUUUAUUUCCCCACCUAUUAAUUGUUACAACGAUAAUUCACUUCCGCAGAUUUUAAGACUUGAAUAUGGUCCACAAUAGCCCAUAUAUUAUUUCAUUGUAAUUUAUUGAUAUUCAAAUAUCAGAAAACAAUCGAUAAAUGAUGUGUUUAUGUUUACAUAUUAUGUGUCUAUUUAAACAUGUUAUAAUAUAGAUUUUUGGAAUAAAAAAAUAACCAAACAUUUAUAUCUAACAGCUGGUGAAAUAUAUUGCUUUGUUUAAACUGCACGGAAUGAUUUGGUCCCUAUUCUAAAUAUCAAGAUUGUUAAAAAAGAAAUAAUAAAAAUACAAAUAUGGUUGGGUUGAAUGAAAUAAGGUGCAAUUGAUAUUU
rnacentral:misc_RNA from 1 species